AUUGAACGCUGGCGGCAGGCUUAACACAUGCAAGUCGAGCGGGGGAGGUUACUUCGGUAACUGACCUAGCGGCGGACGGGUGAGUAAUGCUUAGGAAUCUGCCUAUUAGUGGGGGACAACAUUCCGAAAGGAAUGCUAAUACCGCAUACGCCCUACGGGGGAAAGCAGGGGAUCUUCGGACCUUGCGCUAAUAGAUGAGCCUAAGUCGGAUUAGCUAGUUGGUGGGGUAAAGGCCUACCAAGGCGACGAUCUGUAGCGGGUCUGAGAGGAUGAUCCGCCACACUGGGACUGGGACACGGCCCAGACUCCUACGGGAGGCAGCAGUGGGGAAUAUUGGACAAUGGGCGGAAGCCUGAUCCAGCCAUGCCGCGUGUGUGAAGAAGGCCUUUUGGUUGUAAAGCACUUUAAGCGAGGAGGAGGCUCCUUUAGUUAAUACCUAAAGUGAGUGGACGUUACUCGCAGAAUAAGCACCGGCUAACUCUGUGCCAGCCGCCGCGGUAAUAC
rnacentral:rRNA from 1 species